ensembl:lncRNA
UUUUAUCAUUGUGCUGUGAUACAAAAGACAGCAUCGAUGUUUGGUGGUAGGUCAGGUAGGCUGUUUGGAGGUAGGUCAGGUAGGCUGUUUGGAGGUAGGUCAGGUAGGCUGUUUGGUGGUAGGUCAGGUAGGCUGUUUGGAGGUAGGUCAGGUAGGCUGUUUAGUGGUAAGGCAGGUAGGCUGUUUGGUGGUAUGUCAGGUAGGCUGUUUGGUGGUAGGUCAGGUGGGCUGUUCGGUGGUAGGUCAGGUAGGCUGUUCGGUGGUAGGUCAGGUGGGCUGUUCGGUGGUAGGUCAGGUGGGCUGUUCGGUGGUAGGUCAGGUGGGCUGUUCGGUGGUAGGUCAGGUGGGCUGUUCGGUGGUAGGUCAGGUAGGCUGUUCGGUGGUAGGUCAGGUAGGCUGUUUGGUGGUAGGUCAGGUAGGCUGUUCGGUGGUA